rnacentral:rRNA from 1 species
CGGAGGGAAACCGAGUCUUAAUUGGGCGUUAAGUUGCAGGGUAUAGACCCGAAACCCGGUGAUCUAGCCAUGGGCAGGUUGAAGGUUGGGUAACACUAACUGGAGGACCGAACCGACUAAUGUUGAAAAAUUAGCGGAUGACCUGUGGCUGGGGGUGAAAGGCCAAUCAAACCGGGAGAUAGCUGGUUCUCCCCGAAAGCUAUUUAGGUAGCGCCUCGUGAAUUCAUCUCCGGGGGUAGAGCACUGUUUCGGCUAGGGGGCCAUCCCGGCUUACCAACCCGAUGCAAACUGCGAAUACCGGAGAAUGUUAUCACGGGAGACACACGGCGGGUGCUAACGUCCGUCGUGAAGAGGGAAACAACCCAGACCGCCAGCUAAGGUCCCAAAGUCAUGGUUAAGUGGGAAACGAUGUGGGAAGGCCCAGACAGCCAGGAUGUUGGCUUAGAAGCAGCCAUCAUUUAAAGAAAGCGUAAUAGCUCACUGGUCGAGUCGGCCUGCGCGGAAGAUGUAACGGGGCUAAACCAUGCACCGAAGCUGCGGCAGCGACACUCAGGUGUUGUUGGGUAGGGGAGCGUUCUGUAAGCCUGUGAAGGUGUG